rnacentral:ncRNA from 1 species
CUACGGACUUGAUUGUAUUGAGCCUUGGUAUGGAAACCUGCUAAGUGGCAACUUCCAAAUUCAGAGAAACCCUGGAAUUAAAAAAGGGGCAAUCCUGAGCCAAAUCCAUGUUUUGAGAAAACAAGUGGUUCUCGAACUAGAACCCAAAGGAAAAGGAUAGGUGCAGAGACUCAAUGGAAGCUGUUCUAACGAAUCGAGUUAAUUACGUUGUGUUGCUAGCGGAACUCCCUUCUAAAUUAGGGAAAGAAGGGCUUUCGAAAUCUAAUACACACGUAUAGAUACUGGCAUAGCAAACGAUUAAUCACAGAACUCAUAUCAUAAUAUAGGUUCUUUAAUUCUUUUUUAAAAUGAAAAUAGGAAUGAUUAUGAAAUAGAAAAUUCAUAAUUUUUUUAGAAUUGUUGUGAAUCCAUUCCAAUCGAAUAUUGAGUAAUCAAAUCCUUCAAUUCAUAGUUUUCGAAAUCUUUUUAAAAGCGGAUUAAUCGGACGAGGAUAAAGAGAGAGUCCCAUUCUACAUGUCAAUACUGA